ensembl:lncRNA
GUCUUACAGCUCAGUAGUACUAGUUACUAGGGGAUGUCACUACAACUAAGGGAGCAUCCUUCCAUCCAUCCAUCCAUCCAUCCAUCCAUCCAUCCAUCCAUUUCCUUCUACACAGGGAGCAUGGAGCCUAUACCAAGGGACUUGGAGCAUAAAGUGGGGAACACCGUGGGCAACCCACUGCAGGGUCAGGUUUUUUUGAUUCCAUGGGAAGAAGUUUACAACAAUUUUUCAACAGUUUGAUGGCGAGCCACCCAACCAGAACCACUGUGUCUUGAAGGACGGGAUUUAAAAUUUUUUAUUAUUUUGGCUUUUCUGCAAAGUACUACAAAUGAAAAUACUCUAGAGGAGUGCCUUCAUUCAGAGUAAAAGAAAUUGUAGAGACCUUGAAAAAGACAUUUUAAUUUUGGAUGUGAUUUUUAUUUUAUUUAAGUUUUGUUAUUUUCCGUGUAUGUAUAUAUUUUAUUUUAGGCUUAACUUGGAGGGUGCAUCCUAGGAUAUUAUAUAUGUAUUGUUUAAUUUCACUCACUCUAAAUUGUAUAUAAAUCAUUCUAUAUUUACCUUUAUAAGUUGUGCUGUCACUGUUAUUGUUUCAAUCCACUACCUCCUACGUACCCUUUAGUCUUCUGAUAUCUGGUCUACACAUCAUCUAUAUAGUACAUAUUUAAUAUAUGCUACAUUUACCUAUGAUUUUAUGAACAUAAUUG